rnacentral:lncRNA from 1 species
GAUAUUUGGUAUUUAGUACUUAUCCACUUAAGUGAAAGAUCAAAGACUACUUGGCUUUCCUGCAGACUGUUGUAAACUAGCAUAUUAAAAUUCCUUCUCGUGGUGUUGUUGUAGUCCAAAGGUAUGGUUCAUAUGCAUAUUUCUGUAAUAGGUUUUUGUCCUGAAUGUGCUUGGUAUAGUAAUACCCCUGCUCCAAAAAGCAGGGUAUACUGGUUUAUAUCUGUCCCUCAAUUCAAUUCUAAAUGUACAAAUAUGGUUGAGGUUAGAUAAUACCUGCCAGACAGACAUGUUCACUUUACAAUUGUUCAAUAGCUGACUUAUUGAUAAUAGUAUUUGGAAAAUUGACAAAUGAAAAAUGAAAAUGAGGUAAUGUCCGAUGAUACCAGCUGGACCCACAUGAACACCUUACAUUCAUUCUGUAAACUCAUAAUAGUUGAUGUAUUGCUUAUAGUACUUGACAAAAUGAACACAACACAACAAUUUAACAUUGAACAAUGAAAAUGAGGUCAAGGUAAGAUAUAACCUGCCAGACUGACGUGUACCCUUUACAAUCAUUCCAUAUACCACAUAUAGUUCACUUACUGUUCAUAGAAUGGAGAAACUUACCUAAUCAAACUUGCACCUUGAAUGACUUGAUUUAUAUUCCAUGUAAUGAGGGUUGUGGCCAGGUGAAUCCUGUCUGACAGACAUGUAGGCAUUACAAGGAACCCAUUUACCAAAUAUCACUAUCCACUACUCAUAAUAGGUGAGAAAUUCACAAAAUAGAACAAAAAGAAAGGCACUUUUUAUUUGACCCCUCCAAGAGUAUGAUACAAUUUUUAUUCACUCAAGACAUUUAAAUUUCCAAACUUAAAAGGUUACGCUUGCUGAGCCUUUUAAAUAUUUAAAAAUUUAACUGUUUCAUGUGUUGAUUUUGUAAGACAUUUAAAAU